AUCAUUCUAAACAAUGGCUUUCUGUUUGCUACUAGUUUUAAUGGCAUUCAUUGGUGCGAGUAUACAAGACAGCAUUACCCCAACAUCUCCUGUAGUCCAUGCAAAGGUCAAUGAAAAAGUGACGAUCUCUUGUAAAUACAAGUACACUGUGUCGAUGAAUAAUCUACAGUGGUAUCGACAUUAUCUCGACUCUAUGCUGGAAUUUCUUGUUCUAAUCAUGGAGUCGGGACAAAAUCAAACGGCUACACCUCCUCAUCCUCGGCUGACAGCUUCAGUUAAUAAAGAUAACAAGAUGGUGAAUCUGGAAAUCGUUCCUGCAGAUGUGAAGGACUCUGCUGUGUAUUACUGCGCACUGCAGCCCACAGUGGCAGGAAACGCAUGA